GGGGAACAUUGCACAAUGGGCGAAAGCCUGAUGCAGCAACGCCGCGUGAGUGAAGAAGGUUUUCGGAUCGUAAAACUCUGUUGUUAGAGAAGAACAAGGAUGAGAGUAGAAUGUUCAUCCCUUGACGGUAUCUAACCAGAAAGCCACGGCUAACUACGUGCCAGCAGCCGCGGUAAUACGUAGGUGGCAAGCGUUGUCCGGAUUUAUUGGGCGUAAAGCGAGCGCAGGCGGUCUUUUAAGUCUGAUGUGAAAGCCCCCGGCUUAACCGGGGAGGGUCAUUGGAAACUGGGAGACUUGAGUGCAGAAGAGGAAAGCGGAAUUCCAUGUGUAGCGGUGAAAUGCGUAGAUAUAUGGAGGAACACCAGUGGCGAAGGCGGCUUUCUGGUCUGUAACUGACGCUGAGGCUCGAAAGCGUGGGGAGCAAAC
rnacentral:rRNA from 1 species